CCCGCCAUAGUUUAUUUAAAAACAUCGACCUGCAAAAUCGAGAAAGGAAUAGUUUCCUGGUGUGU
rnacentral:tRNA from 1 species